UCAAUCUGAUACAAGGUUUGGGGUACAAGGGAUUUGACGCCUCAUCUUCUUCAUUCGUUCGUCAAAUCAAGUAUAGGAACAGAGGGAGCGACGAACAAACGGAACAACGAGAAGGGUCCAAUCUCUGGCGAUGGCUGGUACGUUGGGAGGAGGAAUCGAUCUCCGGCGAGCCUCAUUUGGAUUGGUUUAAUCUCCACUGGCAAUGAUCCAAGAAAAAGGAAGCAAGGUCAACGGUAGAAGUUGUGGUUAACAACAAUGGUGGCGAUAGGCGGCUCCGGCUGUUACUCAUCGCCUUGUCUCUUCUGAUUUUGGCAAGUAACACAAAGGGAAGAUGGAGGUGCGGAUCAGAACUGGGACAACAUUUGGUGUGGGUUUCUUUUGAGUUGUUUGAUUGAUAGGAAGAACGAGGGAGGAUGGGUGUGGGUUUCUCCGGCGACGAAUCGUAUCAGCGAUCAGUCUCUAGCGAGUCCUCGUGUUUCUUCUUUUCUGUCCCGAUCGACAAUCACGAUGUUUCCCCAUUGCUUUGGCAGUUCUGAUCAACAAUAGAAAUCGAUAUAGGAGAAGGAUGUUUGGGUUUGAGCUUCUUUGACAGGAGGAGGGGCUACUGCUCCUUAGCUCACCAGGAAAUCACAAGAAAACCACCUCCAAUGGAGGUGUUCUUGGCUAUGCAUCGAAACAGAAAGAUGGGAGAGAAAGAGUGAGUUUGUGAAUGAUUGUGUGACUUUCCUAUGUGAUAAAAAGCAGAUAUUUAGAAGCUCUUGAGAUCUCUGAAGUACUUGGAAAUCUCUGAAGGAUUAUGUAGGGAGAUAGAACGUGUGAGAGGGGGUGAUGGAUAUGGAGAUAUUGAGUAUAUUACUUGAGAUCUUUGUAGGAUUUUGUAAGUACACAACAAAUAUCGUAGAUUUUAUGUGGGUUAUACGCACAUGUAUAAGUGACCGAGUAUUUAAAACAUAUAUCAUUCAUGUAUUUGGUUAUACAAA